CCGGUUAAGAUUUGACUAAAUACCAAAUUCUUGAUAUCGUCAGGUAAAUAUGCUAAAUUAAUCUACAAAGCGAGAGCACUUUCCAUUUUUAUCAGCUAAGAGUCGACUAGCCCUUUUUGAAAGGCUAAUGCUUGUUAUGUAUAAAGAAAUGAUGUUUUGUCUUGCGGUGAUCAGCUGUCAAUUUAUUUUUAGCUCACCAGGCCCGAAGGGCCAUGUGAGCUUUUCUCAUUACUUUGCGUCCGUCGUCGUCGUGGUAAAAUGCAGUUUUUGGCUUAUAACUGAAAAACCAAAGCAUUUAGAGCAAAUCUGACAUGGGGUAAAAUUGUUUGUCAGGUCAAGAUAUCUCUGCCCUGAAAUUUUCAGAUGAAUCGG
rnacentral:lncRNA from 1 species